GCGGAAAUAGCUCAGUUGGUAGAGCACAACCUUGCCCCAAAAGAUAUUAGGGUCGCGAGUUCGAGUCUCGUUUUCCGCU
rnacentral:tRNA from 1 species